rnacentral:rRNA from 1 species
AUUGAACGCUGGCGGCAGGCCUAACACAUGCAAGUCGAACGAGUGGCGGACGGGUGAGUAAUGUCUGGGAAACUGCCCGAUGGAGGGGGAUAACUACUGGAAACGGUAGCUAAUACCGCAUACCAUCGGAUGUGCCCAGGUGGGUUUAGCUAGUAGGUGGGGUAACGGCUCACCUAGGCGACGAUCCCUAGCUGGUCUGUGAGGAUGACCAGCCACACUGGAACUAAGACACGGUCCAGACUCCUACGAGAGGCAGCAUUGGGGAAUAUUGCACAAUGGGCGCAAGCCUGAUGCAGCCAUGCCGCGUGUAUGAAGAAGGCCUUCGGAUUGUAAAGUACUUUGAGCGGGGAGGCGUUACUCGCAGAAAAAGCACCGGCUAACUCCGUGCCAGCAGCCGCGGUAAUUC